UGGGAUAUAGCUCAGCAGCAUGGUGCCUGCCUAGCAAGCAGGAGGUCCUGAGUUCAAUUCCCAGUUCCAUAA
rnacentral:tRNA from 1 species